UAGCCGGUUUAGUAAGUCCCUGGUAAAACCGGGCAGCUUAACUGUCCGUAUGCUAGGAAUACUGCUAUGCUAGAGGGCGGGAGAGGUCCGAGGUACUACAGGGGUAGGGGUGAAAUCUUAUAAUCCUUGUAGGACCACCAGUGGCGAAAGCGUCAGACUGGAACGCGCCUGACGGUGAGGGACGAAAGCCAGGGGAGCGAACCGGAUUAGAUACCCGGGUAGUCCUGGCCGUAAACGAUGCAUACUAGGCAAUGGUGCGGCCAUGAGCCGCAUCAGUACCGUAGGGAAACCGUUAAGUGUGCCGCCUGGGAAGUACGGUCGCAAGGCUAAAACUUAAAGGAAUUGGCGGGGGAGCACCACAAGGGGUGAAGCCUGCGGUUCAAUUGGACUCAACGCCGGGAAACUUACCAGGGGAGACAGCAGAAUGACAGUCAGGUUGACGACCUUACUCGACGAGCUGAGUGGAGGUGCAUGGCCGUCGCCAGUUCGUGCUGUGAGGUAUCCGGUUAAGUCAGGCAACGAACGAGAUCCGCGCCUUUAUUUGCCACCAAGAAGUUACGACUUCGUUGG
rnacentral:rRNA from 1 species